UUUAAGAUGCUUAGCACCAUAUUUAUAUCUCCCAUCCUUUGGUUUAGUUGUUAGUUUUUGGUACGUGAGAUUUUAAUGUGAUUGGGUGCAUAUCUUCUAAAUGACAUGAUUGGUUUUUCGUUGUAUUCUUUUUAUAUGUAAUUUUGCAGCUAGUUUGAAGUUGCUUUUAUGUGACUUUAGUGCUUCUAUAUUUCUUUUCUCAUUGUUGUUCAUUUAUAUGAGUUAGAUGUUUAUCUACUGUUGUUUUUUUCAAUCUCCC
rnacentral:lncRNA from 1 species